GUCAUAAAAAUAAAAACAUAGCGCGUAGGCAACAACCAAUAGCAGACGGACGCGCACUAUGAUUGGCUAAGAUAUUU